rnacentral:rRNA from 1 species
AACGUACGCUGGCGGCACGCCUAACACAUGCAAGUCGAACGAAGUAGCAAUACUUAGUGGCAGACGGGUGAGUAACAUGUAGGUAUCUGCCCUUUGGCCUGGAAUAACACGAGGAAACUUGUGCUAAUACCGGAUAAGUCUUUACGGAGAAAGCUUUAUGCACCAUUGGAUGAGCCUGCACUUGAUUAGUUUGUUGGUGGGGUAAUGGCCUACCAAGACUGUGAUCAAUAGCUGAUUUGAGAGGAUGAUCAGCCACAUUGGGACUGAGACACGGCCCAAACUCCUACGGGAGGCAGCAGUGGGGAAUCUUGCACAAUGGAGGAAACUCUGAUGCAGCGAUGCCGCGUGAGUGAAGAAGGCCCUUGGGUUGUAAAGCUCUUUCGUCGGGGAAGAAAAUGACUGUACCCGAAUAAGAAGGUCCGGCUAACUUCGUGCCAGCAGCCGCGGUAAUACGAAGGGACCUAGCGUAGUUCGGAAUUACUGGGCUUAAAGAGUUCGUAGGUGGUUGAAAAAGUUAGUGGUGAAAUCCCAGAGCUUAACUCUGGAACUGCCAUUAAAACUUUUCAGCUAGAGUAUGAUAGAGGAAAGCAGAAUUUCUAGUGUAGAGGUGAAAUUCGUAGAUGUUAGAAAGAAUACCAAUUGCGAAGGCAGCUUUCUGGAUCAUUACUGACACUGAGGAACGAAAGCAUGGGUAGCGAAGAGGAUUAGAUACCCUCGUAGUCCAUGCCGUAAACGAUGUGUGUUAGACGUUGGAAAUUUAUUUUCAGUGUCGCAGGGAAACCGAUAAACACACCGCCUGGGGAGUACGACCGCAAGGUUAAAACUCAAAUGAAUUGACGGGGACCCGCACAAGUAGUGGAGCAUGUGGUUUAAUUCGAAGAUACGCGCAGAACCUUACCAACACUUGACAUGUUCGUCGCGACUCUAAGAGAUUAGAGUUUUCGGUUCGGCCGGACGAAACACAGGUGCUGCAUGGCUGUCGUCAGCUCGUGUCGUGAGAUGUUGGGUUAAGUCCCGCAACGAGCGCAACCCUCACUUUUAGUUGCCAUCAUUAAGUUGGGCACUCUGAAAGAACUGCCAGUGAUAAGCUGGAGGAAGGUGGGGAUGACGUCAAGUCCUCAUGGCCCUUACGUGUUGGGCUACACACGUGCUACAAUGGUAUCUACAACAGGAAGCAAGACUGCGAAGUUAAGCAAAUCCCUAAAAGAUACCUCAGUUCGGAUUGCACUCUGCAACUCGAGUGCAUGAAGCUGGAAUUACUAGUAAUCGUGGAUCAGCGUGCCACGGUGAAUGCGUUCCCGGGUCU